rnacentral:rRNA from 1 species
GUGGGGAAUAUUGGACAAUGGGCGAAAGCCUGAUCCAGCCAUGCCGCGUGUGUGAAGAAGGUCUUCGGAUUGUAAAGCACUUUAAGUUGGGAGGAAGGGCAGUAAGUUAAUACCUUGCUGUUUUGACGUUACCGACAGAAUAAGCACCGGCUAACUUCGUGCCAGCAGCCGCGGUAAUACGAAGGGUGCAAGCGUUAAUCGGAAUUACUGGGCGUAAAGCGCGCGUAGGUGGUUUUGUAAGUUGGAGGUGAAAUCCCCGGGCUCAACCUGGGAACUGCCUACAAAAAUGAAUGACUAGAGUACGGUAGAGAGUAGUGGAAUUUCCUGUGUAGCGGUGAAAUGCGUAGAUAUAGGAAGGAACACCAGUGGCGAAGGCGACUACCUGGACUGAUACUGACACUGAGGUGCGAAAGCGUGGGGAGCAAACAGGAUUAGAAACCCGGGUAGUCC